ACGGCUCAGUAACACGUAGUCAAUCUACCCUAUGGACGGGAAUAACCUCGGGAAACUGAGAAUAAUGCCCGAUAGAACAUUAUGCCUGGAAUGGUUUAUGUUUCAAAUGAUUUAUCGCCAUAGGAUGGGACUGCGGCCUAUCAGUUUGUUGGUGAGGUAAUGGCCCACCAAGACUAUUACAGGUACGGGCUCUGAGAGGAGUAGCCCGGAGAUGGGUACUGAGACACGGACCCAGGCCCUAUAGGGCGCAGCAGGCGAGAAAACUUUGCAAUGUGCGAAAGCACGACAAGGUUAAUCCGAGUGGUUUCUGCUAAAGAAACCUUUUGUCAGUCCUAGAAACACUAACGAAUAAGGGGUGGGCAAGUUCUGGUGUCAGCCGCCGCGGCAAAACCAGCACCUCAAGUGGUCAGGAUGAUUAUUGGGCCUAAAGCAUCCGUAGCUCGUUUUGUAAGUUUUCGGUUAAAUCCAUGCGCUUAACGUAUGGGCUGCCGGGAAUACUGCAUAACUAGGAAGUGGGAGAGGUAGACGGUACUCGGGAGGAAGGGGUAAAAUCCUUUGAUCUCUUGAUGACCACCUGUGGCGAAGGCGGUCUACCAGAACACGUUCGACGGUGAGGGAUGAAAGCUGGGGGGGCAAACCGGAUUAGAUACCCGGGUAGUCCCAGCUGUAAGCUAUGCAAACUCAGUGAUGCAUUGGCUUAUGGCCAAUGCAGUGCUGCAGGGAAGCCGUUAAGUUUGCCGCCUGGGAAGUACGUACGCAAGUAUGAAACUUAAAGGAAUUGGCGGGGGAGCAC
rnacentral:rRNA from 1 species